rnacentral:rRNA from 1 species
AGAGUUUGAUCCUGGCUCAGAACGAACGCUGGUAGCGUGGAUUAGGCAUGCAAGUCGAACGGGAUCACCUGGGUAGCAAUAUUCGGGUGUGAGAGUGGCGGAUUGGGGAGGAACACGUGAGCAACCUGCCUUUGAGUGGGGGAAAACCGGUGGAAACGCCGGCUAAUACCGCAUGUGGCAUCGGAGGACAUCCUCUGAAUGCUAAAGGGGGCCGCAAGGCUCUCGCUCUUAGAGGGGCUCGCGCACCAUCAGCUUGUUGGCGGGGUAACGGCCCACCAAGGCUCACGGUUAGCUGGUCUGAGAGGAUGACCAGCCCCACUGGGACUGAGAUACUGCCCAGACUCCUACGGGAGGCUGCAGUCGAGGAUCAUUUGCAAUGGGCGAAAGCCUGACAAUGCGACGCUGCGUGGAGGAUGAAGGCCCUCGGGUUGUAAACUCCUGUCAUAAGGGAACAGGCGAGGAUACCUAAUACGUAUCUUAGUUGAGUGUACUUUAAGAGGAAGCGACGGCUAACUCUGUGCCAGCAGCCGCGGUAAGAAGUGCUGU